UACGUAGGUGACAAGCGUUGUCCGGAUUUACUGGGCGUAAAGAGCGCGCAGGCGGUCGAUCAAGUCGAGUGUGAAAGCCCCCGGCUCAACUGGGGAGGGUCAUUCGAUACUGAUCGACUCGAAGGCAGGAGAGGGUAGUGGAACUCCCGGUGUAGUGGUGAAAUGCGUAGAUAUCGGGAGGAACACCAGUGGCGAAGGCGACUACCUGGCCUGUUCUUGACGCUGAGGCGCGAAAGCUAGGGGAGCAAACGGG
rnacentral:rRNA from 1 species